AUUGAACGCUGGCGGCAUGCCUUACACAUGCAAGUCGAACGGCAGCGGGGGUAGCUUGCUACCUGCCGGCGAGUGGCGAACGGGUGAGUAAUACAUCGGAACGUGCCCUGUAGUGGGGGAUAACUAGUCGAAAGACUGGCUAAUACCGCAUACGACCUGAGGGUGAAAGUGGGGGACCGCAAGGCCUCAUGCUAUAGGAGCGGCCGAUGUCUGAUUAGCUAGUUGGUGGGGUAAAGGCCCACCAAGGCGACGAUCAGUAGCUGGUCUGAGAGGACGAUCAGCCACACUGGGACUGAGACACGGCCCAGACUCCUACGGGAGGCAGCAGUGGGGAAUUUUGGACAAUGGGGGCAACCCUGAUCCAGCAAUGCCGCGUGUGUGAAGAAGGCCUUCGGGUUGUAAAGCACUUUUGUCCGGAAAGAAAUCGCUUCGGUUAAUACCUGGAGUGGAUGACGGUACCGGAAGAAUAAGGACCGGCUAACUACGUGCCAGCAGCCGCGGUAAUACGUAGGGUCCAAGCGUUAAUCGGAAUUACUGGGCGUAAAGCGUGCGCAGGCGGUUGUGCAAGACCGAUGUGAAAUCCCCGGGCUUAACCUGGGAAUUGCAUUGGUGACUGCACGGCUAGAGUGUGUCAGAGGGGGGUAGAAUUCCACGUGUAGCAGUGAAAUGCGUAGAGAUGUGGAGGAAUACCGAUGGCGAAGGCAGCCCCCUGGGAUAACACUGACGCUCAUGCACGAAAGCGUGGGGAGCAAACAGG
rnacentral:rRNA from 1 species